rnacentral:sRNA from 1 species
UCUGGGUGUGGUGGUGCACACCUGCAAUCCCAGCUACUUGGGAGAUUGAGGCAGGAGGAUCUCAAGUUUGAGACCAGCCUGAGCAACUUAGUGAGACCCUGUCUCAA